UCCGGGCGCAGGAAGUGCGCGCUCAUUCGGACUCCGGCAGAGGGCUGAGGUGCGGAAGGAGAACGGAAGAGGUCUACAGAAACUUACAGUGGCUCUGAGAGCUGAAAGAAGUAAAAUGAAAAGGGAAAUUGUAAGAGAAAGCGUGAGAGUCAGGCGACCAGCCUGACCCAGAACAGGGAGUUUUGGUGAAGACAAGGAAGGGCCUCGUUGCUCCCAGAGUCAACAUUCAACAGGUGUAAACAGCUCUUUGAAGUUCCUGGUCCUCAACAACUCAAGAAACCUUGGAGGCUGGAGAGAUGGCUCCGUGGUUAAGAGCACUUGUUGAUCUUGCAAAGG